ACAACAUUCGAAGUGUCGGUCUUCCAAGCAAUAUAACCCGAUCGGUGGAAGAUCUUCCCUUUGACGU
rnacentral:pre_miRNA from 1 species